CCUGUUGUCUGUCGGAUGUU
rnacentral:miRNA from 1 species